GUGGACGCCAGUCUGCGUGGAGCCAACCUUGAAAUACCACCCUUUAAUGUUUGAUGUUCUAACGUGGACCCGUAAUCCGGGUUGCGGACAGUGUCUGGUGGGUAGUUUGACUGGGGCGGUCUCCUCCUAAAGAGUAACGGAGGAGCACGAAGGGUGGCUAAUCCUGGUCGGACAUCAGGAGGUUAGUGCAAUGGCAUAAGCCAGCUUGACUGCGAGCGUGACGGCGCGAGCAGGUGCGAAAGCAGGUCAUAGUGAUCCGGUGGUUCUGAAUGGAAGGGCCAUCGCUCAACGGAUAAAAGGUACUCCGGGGAUAACAGGCUGAUACCGCCCAAGAGUUCAUAUCGACGGCGGUGUUUGGCACCUCGAUGUCGGCUCAUCACAUCCUGGGGCUGAAGUAGGUCCCAAGGGUAUGGCUGUUCGCCAUUUAAAGUGGUACGCGAGCUGGGUUUAGAACGUCGUGAGACAGUUCGGUCCCUAUCUGCCGUGGGCGCUGGAGAACUGAGGGGGGCUGCUCCUAGUACGAGAGGACCGGAGUGGACGCAUCACUGGUGUUCGGGUUGUCAUGCCAAUGGCACUGCCCGGUAGCUAAAUGCGGAAGAGAUAAGUGCUGAAAGCAUCUAAGCACGAAACUUGCCCCGAGAUGAGUUCUCCCUGAGACUUAAAGUCUCCUGAAGGAACGUUGAAGACGACGACGUUGAUAGGCCGGGUGUGUAAGCGCAGCGAUGCGUUGAGCUAACCGGUACUAAUGAACCGUGAGGCUUAACCUUACAACGCCGAAG
rnacentral:rRNA from 1 species